GCGGACGUAGUUCAGUUGGUUAGAAUGCCUGCCUGUCACGCAGGAGGUCGCGGGUUCAAGUCCCGUCGUUCGCGCCA
rnacentral:tRNA from 1 species